UAGAAAUCAAUGAUGAAGUCUAGUAAGUAAUAAAUCCAUUGUAGAGAGCUUGUGUAUGGUGAAAACAAGUAUGUAUUUAGUACCGAAGCUGCUUCUGAGAGAUGUUAAAAUCAUCCGUAAUCCUGCGUUAAAGGAAUCGAGUGCUAGAUUUAAUCUAGAACUAAGGUGGUACCACGGAAUUUAUUCGUCCUUAAA
rnacentral:ncRNA from 1 species